UACGAAGGGUGCAAGCGUUACUCGGAAUUACUGGGCGUAAAGCGUGCGUAGGUGGUUCGUUAAGUCUGAUGUGAAAGCCCUGGGCUCAACCUGGGAAUGGCAUUGGAAACUGGCGACCUAGAGUGCGGUAGAGGGUAGUGGAAUUCCCGGUGUAGCAGUGAAAUGCGUAGAGAUCGGGAGGAACAUCUGUGGCGAAGGCGACUGCCUGGACGAGCACUGACACUGAGGCACGAAAGCGUGGGGAGCAAACAGG
rnacentral:rRNA from 1 species